UGUGUGUCCCCACAAGGUUAGUUAUACGAGACUGUGUGUGUGUGUGUCUGUGUGUCCCCACAAGGUUAGUUAUACGAGACUGUGUGUGUGUCCCCACAAGGUUAGUUAUACGAGACUGUGUGUGUCUGUGUGUCCCCACAAGGUUAGUUAUACGAGACUGUGUGUGUGUCUGUGUGUCCCCACAAGGUCAGUUAUACAAGACUGUGUGUGUGUCUGUGUGUCCCCACAAGGUUAGUUAUACGAGACUGUGUGUGUGUCUGUGUGUGUCCCCACAAGGUUAGUUAUACGAGACUGUGUGUGUGUCUGUGUGUGUCCCCACAAGGUUAGUUAUACGAGACUGUGUGUGUGUCUGUGUGUGUCCCCACAAGGUUAGUUAUACGAGACUGUGUGUGUGUGUGUGUGUCCCCACAAGGUUAGUUAUACGAGACUGUGUGUGUGUGUGUGUGUCCCCACAAGGUUAGUUAUACAAGACUGGGUGUGUGUGUCUGUGUGUCCCCACAAGGUUAGUUAUACGAGACUGUGUGUGUGUGACUCACUUCGACAGCAGCGAGUCCUCCA
ensembl:lncRNA